GGUCAAGCUACAAAGAGCUCACGGCGGAUACCUUGGCACACAGAGGCGAUGAAGGACGUGGUUACCUGCGAUAAGUCUCGGGGAGCUGGAAACACGCUUUGAUCCGGGAAUUUCCGAAUGGGGCAACCCCUAGAACGGCCAGCUGAAUCCAUAGGCUGGCGCGAGCCAACCCAGCGAACUGAAACAUCUUAGU
rnacentral:rRNA from 1 species